rnacentral:snRNA from 1 species
UUGCUUCAGCAGCACAGAUACUAAAUUUGGAAUUUUUUAGAGAAGAUCAGCAUGGCCUCUGCAAGGGAUGACGCACAAAUCCCAUUUUAGAGAGUGAU